UAAUGGCUGUCUCAGCUCGUGUUGUGAAAUGUUGGGUUAAGUCCCGCAACGAGCGCAACCCUUAUCCUUUGUUGCCAGCGGUUCGGCCGGGAACUCAAAGGAGACUGCCAGUGAUAAACUGGAGGAAGGUGGGGAUGACGUCAAGUCAUCAUGGCCCUUACGAGUAGGGCUACACACGUGCUACAAUGGCAUAUACAAAGAGAAGCGACCUCGCGAGAGCAAGCGGACCUCAUAAAGUAUGUCGUAGUCCGGAUUGGAGUCUGCAACUCGACUCCAUGAAGUCGGAAUCGCUAGUAAUCGUAGAUCAGAAUGCUACGGUGAAUACGUUCCCGGGCCUUGUACACACCGCCCGUCACACCAUGGGAGUGGGUUGCAAAAGAAGUAGGUAGCUACACGCUACGGAGGGCGAUAUAUAGCUUUUCCU
rnacentral:rRNA from 1 species